UAAUACUUCAAUAUGACUUGCAUAGUUCUUGUGUGUGUUUUUUCUCUUCUUCCUAUUACCACAAACUCAUAUUAAAAGUAAAAGUCGAUGAAUGAUAAUAUUACAACAAGGAUGAUGUUCUUCAGGGUUGUCUAUUGUUGUUUUGUCAAAAACUAUGCUAUAACUCCAUGGCCAAUGUGUCAAGGUGUUUGUUGGGUCAUAUUGGAAGUUCUUUCUACUUUUAGGAGGCAUCAGUGUAAAUAGUUUUCAUCUAGGGUUCUUAUGAAAAGGUGACAACAACUAGGGGGUCAGAAUGUGGUGUUCUUUUAAUAAUAAGCCCAAGAGAUAAACUUACAUUACACAUCCUUGUGUGGUAGCCUAUGAAUCACCUCUAACUGUAAAUGAGAGUUACUGGUUUUUAAAUUAUUUAUGUGAAGAUUGGUGGGUUUAGUGGCAGGUGAGGGUGAGGCUAUUAUUGAAGAAGACAAAUCCCCAUAGAAAUGCAAAGACAAUUGUUGUCUGCAACCAUAAAUUUUAUGGUAUAACCCAAAAGAAUCUAUACAUCUCAACUCCAUUGUAUUAGAAGUGAACAAAUAGGCUUAAGACUGAUUAUUUAUUUAUUGCUACUUCUUCCAAUAGGUAAGUCUAUGCAGUUUAUGGAUUGGUUGGAGUGGCAUGUCUGUUGUGGGGCAUCUAUUUCUUUGGAGAAUUAGCUGUUCCACAUUCCAAGCCUAGCAAUUUCCUAGUUAUUAAUUUGUCUCUUAAAAAAUUCUUGUACCCUAUCCGAGAAAAUAGAAAAGAAAAAUGGCUGUAUUUCAUUUGUUUUAGUGUUAGACAUUUGGCUGUGUUUGCAAAAUUACAUGGUAGCAUGAGUUUCUUGUGUGUUAGAUAUUUUAUCAUUGUUCUGUUAUUCUGUGGCUGUUAGUAGUCAGUACUAAGUUUCCAAUACAUUAUGUCUAGUAAGUGUUCUUUAGUGUUAAAUCUUGUGAGUAUGUGCAUGUGAAGUUGAAGUUAUAAUGAAAAUAUAAAACAUAGAUUCAACAUUAUCAAUAAUCAGAAGAUUUAAAAACUAAUAAACCACGAUUCAAUAACCAAAAUAUAAGUUUGCAGUAGAUUUUUUUGAUAUAGGAAAAUAUAGGAAUAGGAAUGGGAAUGGGAAUAGGAACAGGAAUAGAAUGGAAUAAAAUUUAAAAUGCAUAAAAAAAAUUGAUAAAAAAAUAAUUAAUUUUUUUUUCUUGUUACAUUGGAAUGGUCAUUCCUUCCUUUUUAAAAUGGAAUAGCCAUUCCACCAAAAUAGUGGAAAGAGUAUUUCAUUGGAAUAUCAUUCCAAUACUUUAAAAUGCAACCAAACAAAGGAAUGGAAUGAAAAUUGUUUCCUUUCCAUUCCAUUCCAUUUCAUUACCUUCAACCAAACGCCACCUUAAUUCAUACAUAAUGAAACUCUGAUUAUAACAGCACAUAUAAAAUGGUUGUAGGUUGCGAAUGUGCUUGAGUCGUUGUUGUGUGUGAAUUGAGACUCCGAAUUGUUUCGAUCAGCCUUAUUGUUGUAAAAGAUGUUGGUGUCGAUUUGUUGGGGCUCACUAAACAUUUCGGGAUGUAUCUUCUGUGUUUUUCGGAGGGUCUUCUUUGUAUGAACAAGUUGACCUGUUGUGGCCCAAUUGACCUGUUAAAUGAAACCUGGGAUUAUUGCUAAUAGUAUAUUUUCAGUUGAUAUCAUGAGAACAAAACUUUACAUAUAAGAAGAAAUCAUAGCAUAUAUGUCGUACAUUUGGUUGAAGAAAUUGAUGGAAUUUAUUAUAUAUUGUUCUCUAACUUUGGGUUUUGUUAAGGAUAUAUUUAUAUGUGUCCAGAUUUAGAAAACAACACUUGGAAGUAAACCUGCAGCUGAACUGCUGCAGCAAUUAAAGCCACCUUAUUGGUUUUGAAGACAUUUACAUUGAUAUACUCGAAAUCCUCAAACAGAGUCUUUGUUGCGGUUUCUAGAUCUUUGAUAACAUGUCAGAACCUUUGGAGGCAUCAAAUACACAAGAUUCACUGAUUCAUAGAGGUUACGUUGAUGAAAAUAGCAAAACAUUCAUAUCGAUGAUAUCGACGAGGAUAAGGACGAGUUGGAAGAAGAUGGAAAAUGAAACUUCAAUAGUAAUGUCUUCCGCUUAAAGUAAAAAUAAUAACAUGGGACUAAACCAAGCAUUGAAGGCGAGCUAAACACCUACUUAAACAAGGUUGCACCACAUUACAGAAGUUGCAUGUGUCAACAAGUAACAUGGUAUGGCAUUAUGGGAAAAGUAAAGGGAUCAGGCAUGGUCAUGAUGGCCACUUAGUGGGAUUAGCCCAUUAAUGGUAUGGUAUAGCGAGGAGCCUCAUUCUUGAAAGUUUAGCUCACCUUCUCUGCUCAUGUUGACUUAUCCUAAGUCAUUAAAGAGAAUUCUUUUUUUUUUUUUUUUUGUGUUUACAACUGGUCAAACUGACCUUGCGGACACAAAUUGAACAAACUUUAAAUAAUUAACUUUGAUAGUUUUUUUUUUUUUUUGAAAGAAAUCUGUAUUAUUAAAACAAAGCAAAGAGAACCUGGAUACAAAUUACAAUUGUAAAGAUGAAUUCUUCCACGAAGCCUCCUGAUCUAGGCCUAAAGCUUUUUGCCCCCCUUGGGAUGUAGCUAAGAAUAGCUCUAGGAAAGUAAGACUGCUAGCUAGCGUUUAAUUUCAGUGACAAAUUUGCUAAGAUGUAGGUGAUGUGUAUCAUUAUUAUAAAUAUAAUCUACUAAAACUUUACAAUCCGAAACAAUGACUUCUGUAUAAAUAGAAUGGUUGUGACACCAAGAAAGGGCAAAGUAUAAGGCAUGUGCUUCCAUUAGUAAAGGGGGUUGAGUUCCACGCCAAGGCAUAACUAAAUUCAAGAGUACUUCUCCCUGGUUUGUGUGGAUAGCCAUACCGAAGCCCAUUUUAUUUAAUCUUGCAUCCUGGGCAGCAUCAACUAAAAGCCGGAGAUUAUAGCUUUGAAUGGUGGGCUCAGUUUCCUUGGACAGCAAAGGAACACUCUGUGUGUGACUAGUAGAAGAAGCCUUCAUAUUACAACUUUGAUAUUGGUCUAAGAAAUCUGCAACCGAAAGCAGCAGCUGGGCAGGUGUGUUGUAGCUAAACUUGUAUGUAACCAUUUAUUCCUGCAAUUCCAAAUCUUCCACAACAAAGAGACAAAAUAAUGAUAGUUCCCAGCAGUAAAAGUGUUAGCAGCAAGAUGUAAUGAGUCCCAACUUAUUGUUUUGUAUUGUAUGACCAUUGAUGUGUAACCAUUUAUUCAUGAAGAAUUGAUGUGUUAUUCUAUGACCAUUGUUUUGUAUUGUUUUUCUACUGUAAAGGAAGAAACAAGAGACAAAAAAGAUGAAUAACUGAAUUUGUCUUUAACUAGAAAAGAUAGGAUCUUUUUUUAUUGUACGGUCGUGUGUGUACAUCCUUUUAAUGUUAUGGAACAAAAGUCCCAACUUA